GGAACUGUGGUUCAGUGGAAGAACAUCUGCUUGAAAUGUAAAAGGUCCCAGGUUUAAUAUCUGGAAUUUCCA
rnacentral:tRNA from 1 species